CAGCCGCCGCGGUAAUACGAAGGGUGCAAGCGUUAAUCGGAAUUGCUGGGCGUAAAGCGUGCGUAGGCGGUGAGUUAAGUCUGCUGUGAAAUCCCCGGGCUCAACCUGGGAAUGGCAGUGGAUACUGGCUCGCUAGAGUGUGUCAGAGGAUGGUGGAAUUCCCGGUGUAGCGGUGAAAUGCGUAGAGGUCGGGAGGAACAUCAGUGGCGAAGGCGGCCAUCUGGGACAACACUGACGCUGAGGCACGAAAGCGUGGGGAGCAAACAGGAUUAGAUACCCGUGUAGUCCCUGUCUCUUAUAC
rnacentral:rRNA from 1 species